UACGGGGGGGGCAAGCGUUGUUCGGAUUCAUUGGGCGUAAAGGGUGCGUAGGUGGCGUGGUAAGUCGGGUGUGAAAUUUCGGAGCUUAACUCCGAAACUGCAUUCGAUACUGCCGUGCUUGAGGACUGGAGAGGAGACUGGAAUUUACGGUGUAGCAGUGAAAUGCGUAGAGAGCGUAAGGAAGACCAGUGGCGAAGGCGGGUCUCUGGACAGUUCCUGACACUGAGGCACGAAGGCGAGGGGAGCAAACAGG
rnacentral:rRNA from 1 species